UGGGCCGGUAGCUCAGUUAGGCAGAGCGUCUGACUCUUAAUCAGACGGUCGGGGGUUCAAUUCCCUCCCGGCCCGU
rnacentral:tRNA from 1 species